rnacentral:rRNA from 1 species
GAUGAACGCUGGCGGCGUGCCUAACACAUGCAAGUCGAGCGAAGCACUUUGCUUAGAUUCUUCGGAUGAAGAGGAUUGUGACUGAGCGGCGGACGGGUGAGUAACGCGUGGGUAACCUGCCUCAUACAGGGGGAUAACAGUUAGACAUGACUGCUAAUACCGCAUAAGACCACAGCACCGCAUGGUGCGGGGGUAAAAACUCCGGUGGUAUGAGAUGGACCCGCGUCUGAUUAGCUAGUUGGUAAGGUAACGGCUUACCAAGGCGACGAUCAGUAGCCGACCUGAGAGGGUGACCGGCCACAUUGGGACUGAGACACGGCCCAAACUCCUACGGGAGGCAGCAGUGGGGAAUAUUGCACAAUGGGGGAAACCCUGAUGCAGCGACGCCGCGUGAGCGAAGAAGUAUUUCGGUAUGUAAAGCUCUAUCAGCAGGGAAGAAAAUGACGGUACCUGACUAAGAAGCACCGGCUAAAUACGUGCCAGCAGCCGCGGUAACACGUAUGGUGCAAGCGUUAUCCGGAUUUACUGGGUGUAAAGGGAGCGUAGACGGAUGGGCAAGUCUGAUGUGAAAACCCGGGGCUCAACCCCGGGACUGCAUUGGAAACUGUUCAUCUAGAGUGCUGGAGAGGUAAGUGGAAUUCCUAGUGUAGCGGUGAAAUGCGUAGAUAUUAGGAGGAACACCAGUGGCGAAGGCGGCUUACUGGACAGUAACUGACGUUGAGGCUCGAAAGUGUGGGAGCAAACAGG